rnacentral:rRNA from 1 species
ACUCGAGUGGCGAACGGGUGAGUAACACGUGGGUGAUCUGCCCUGCACUUCGGGAUAAGCUUGGGAAACUGGGUCUAAUACCGGAUAGGACCGCACUUUAGUGUGUGUGGUGGAAAGUUUUUUCGGUGUAGGAUGAGCUCGCGGCCUAUCAGCUUGUUGGUGGGGUAAUGGCCUACCAAGGCGGCGACGGGUAGCCGGCCUGAGAGGGUGUACGGCCACAUUGGGACUGAGAUACGGCCCAGACUCCUACGGGAGGCAGCAGUGGGGAAUAUUGCACAAUGGGCGCAAGCCCGAUGCAGCGACGCCGCGUGGGGGAUGAAGGCCUUCGGGUUGUAAACUCCUUUCGCUAGGGACGAAGCCUUUUUGUGACGGUACCUAGAUAAGAAGCACCGGCUAACUACGUGCCAGCAGCCGCGGUAAUACGUAGGGUGCGAGCGUUGUCCGGAAUUACUGGGCGUAAAGGGCUCGUAGGUGGUUUGUCGCGUCGUCUGUGAAAUUCUGGGGCUUAACUCCGGGCGUGCAGGCGAUACGGGCAUAACUUGAGUGCUGUAGGGGUAACUGGAAUUCCUGGUGUAGCUGUGAAAUGCGCAGAUAUCAGGAGGAACACCGAUGGCGAAGGCAGG